rnacentral:rRNA from 1 species
GUCUAAGGCCAUACCACCCUGAACGCGCCCGAUCUCGUCAGAUCUCAAAAGGUUAUGGGGGCUGCUAUAACAAAAUAUCAUAGUCU